rnacentral:rRNA from 1 species
UACGGAGGGUGCGAGCGUUGUCCGGAAUCACUGGGCGUAAAGGGCGCGUAGGCGGCGCGGGAAGUCCGUGGUGAAAGCCCGAGGCUCAACUUCGGGUCGGCCAUGGAUACUCCUGGGCUCGAGCACUGUAGAGGCAGGUGGAAUUCCGGGUGUAGCGGUGGAAUGCGUAGAGAUCCGGAAGAACACCGGUGGCGAAGGCGGUCUGCUGGGGUCGAACUGACGCUGAGGCGCGACAGCGUGGGGAGCAAACAGG